AUGCCCCCAUGGGAGCGAUUUCGCGAGCUCUGCCUCCUUCACUUCGGGCCGCCAAUGCGCGGGAGCCGGCUGGCGGAGCUAUGCCGCCUCCCCUUCACCUUCACGAUGCAGGACUUCGCCGACCGUUUCCAGGCCCUGGCGUGCCACGCGCCCGGCGUGACGGCUCGUCAGCGGGCCGUGCUCUUCAUCGGCGGUCUACCGGAUCAUAUCCAUGUGGACGUGGAGCUUCGGGGACCCCAGGACCUCCAGACGGCGAUGUACUACACCCGCGCCUUCGAGCGUCGCACGCAGGCCUUGCAGCAGGCGGCACCGUCUCGGUGGGGGCCGCCAGCCAGCUAG
rnacentral:rRNA from 1 species